CGGGGCGUAGCGCAGUCGGUAGCGCGUGCGGUUCGGGACCGCAAGGUCGGAGGUUCAAGUCCUCUCGCCCCGACCA
rnacentral:tRNA from 1 species